UACAGAGGUCUCAAGCGUUGUUCGGAUUCAUUGGGCGUAAAGGGUGUGUAGGUGGCGCGCUAAGUCGGGUGUGAAAUUUCGGAGCUUAACUCCGAAACUGCAUUCGAUACUGGCGUGCUUGAGGACUGGAGAGGAGGCUGGAAUUUACGGUGUAGCAGUGAAAUGCGUAGAUAUCGUAAGGAAGACCAGUGGCGAAGGCGGGUCUCUGGACAGUUCCUGACACUGAGACACGAAGGCCAGGGGAGCAAACGGG
rnacentral:rRNA from 1 species